UUGAGCCGGUUUGUGACACAGGUGAAAUUGUGUCACUUCUCUUGCGUUCAUUGCACGCAGAGUCAACAGUUUGGGCCGCCUGGCUCUUUGCGAACUAAUUUGCCAGAAUUUUACGUAAUUAUGACAUACCAUUGAAGGUUGCGCAAUGUAACAGGAACAUUUAGACUCGUGGAUGCAAACCGUUAGAUAAAAUACGGAACGGAAUAAACGUUUUGUUUUCGAGGUGAUCGUUUCCGGAUUUGACCUAAGGCUCGUAUUUGAUAUUUAUAGAGCAGUCUGACUGGGGGGUGGUAGGCAGCAGCAGGUUCGUAAUAGUCAAAGGUAUAUGGUUUAGAGAAAUAGUCGACGCGUUAUGAUUCCUGUAAUAACUUGCGACUGAACUUGAAAGGGGUACCUUCGUUAUUUUACCGUUCAUGUCUUCCAUAGAGAAUGUCUUGAUCUACUUCAAAUAAGGUCUGUGUUUCGUGCAGGCUUAAACCGCCUCGGCGUUUUGACACCCGUGUAAAUCUCACUAGGAUAAGGUAACGUUUGUCGAAAUAUUUUCAUAAAUCCACUCUACAAUUUUUUUUAUCUUCGCUUAUAUUUUGCCAAUAUUGAUCAGAGUUACUUUGUCCUAUGGAUAUCUACACAGUUAUUACAUUUGCAAGGUGGUGUAAGGCUACACGAAACACAGACCUUAUUUUAAAUUAAUCUAAAUAUCCUAUGGAAUAAAUGAAGGAACCGCUUUUCAGAUUUGACUAGGUGUCAUGGGGAUUAUGACUCGCACUUUGGUAGUCAAUUCUUACCAUGUCCAUUAUUAAAAUAGGAUUUCCUGCAUAUAGAAAUUUGUUUUUGUUUUCAACAUUCAUCACAGAUGGCAGAGAAAAGCAGAGCACCAGUGUGGGACUAUUACAUGGAAUUGGCACCAGGGAAACAAGGUGUCUUAUUUGUGAUAAAGAUGUAAGCAUGGAGUCAGCAACUGCUAAAUCAAAAAAUACCACCAACCUGUGGAAUCACCUUAAGAACACCCAUCCAAAAGCCCAUAUGCAUUAUAUUAAGUUAAAAUAAAAGUGUUAAUUCAG